UACGUAGGGGGCAAGCGUUGUCCGGAUUUAUUGGGCGUAAAGAGCGUGUAGGCGGCUAGAUAGGUCCGUUGUGAAAACUCGAGCUCAACCUCGAGACGCCGGUGGAAACCAUCUAGCUAGAGUCCGGAAGAGGAGAGUGGAAUUCCUGGUGUAGCGGUGAAAUGCGCAGAUAUACAGGAAGAACACCCGUGGCGAAGGCGGCUCUCUGGUACGUGACUGACGCUGAGACGCGAAAGCGUGGGGAGCGAACAGG
rnacentral:rRNA from 1 species